UACGGAGGGUGCAAGCGUUAAUCGGAAUUACUGGGCGUAAAGCGCACGCAGGCGGUCUGUCAAGUCGGAUGUGAAAUCCCCGGGCUCAACCUGGGAACUGCGUCCGAUACUGGCAGGCUAGAGUAUGAUAGAGGGAAGUGGAAUUCCAGGUGUAGCGGUGAAAUGCGUAGAGAUCUGGAGGAAUACCGGUGGCGAAGGCGGCCCCCUGGACAAAGACUGACGCUCAGGUGCGAAAGCGUGGGGAGCAAACAGG
rnacentral:misc_RNA from 1 species